rnacentral:rRNA from 1 species
AUUGAACGCUGGCGGCAUGCCUUACACAUGCAAGUCGAACGGCAGCACGGGUGCUUGCACCUGGUGGCGAGUGGCGAACGGGUGAGUAAUACAUCGGAACAUGUCCUGUAGUGGGGGAUAGCCCGGCGAAAGCCGGAUUAAUACCGCAUACGAUCUACGGAUGAAAGCGGGGGACCUUCUGGCCUCGCGCUAUAGGGUUGGCCGAUGGCUGAUUAGCUAGUUGGUGGGGUAAAGGCCUACCAAGGCGACGAUCAGUAGCUGGUCUGAGAGGACGACCAGCCACACUAGGACUGAGACACGGCCCAGACUCCUACGGGAGGCAGCAGUGGGGAAUUUUGGACAAUGGGCGAAAGCCUGAUCCAGCAAUGCCGCGUGUGUGAAGAAGGCCUUCGGGUUGUAAAGCACUUUUGUCCGGAAAGAAAUCCUUGGCCCUAAUACGGUCGGGGGAUGACGGUACCGGAAGAAUAAGCACCGGCUAACUACGUG